UACAUAGGGUGCAAGCGUUGUCCGGAAUUAUUGGGCGUAAAGAGCUCGUAGGUGGUUCGUCACGUCGGAUGUGAAACUCUGGGGCUUAACCCCAGACCUGCAUUCGAUACGGGCGAGCUUGAGUAUGGUAGGGGAGUCUGGAAUUCCUGGUGUAGCGGUGGAAUGCGCAGAUAUCAGGAGGAACACCAAUGGCGAAGGCAGGUCUCUGGGCCAAUACUGACACUGAGGAACGAAAGUCUGGGGAGCGAACAGG
rnacentral:rRNA from 1 species